rnacentral:rRNA from 1 species
AUUGAACGCUGGCGGCAUGCCUUACACAUGCAAGUCGAACGGCAGCACGGGUGCUUGCACCUGGUGGCGAGUGGCGAACGGGUGAGUAAUACAUCGGAACAUGUCCUGUAGUGGGGGAUAGCCCGGCGAAAGCCGGAUUAAUACCGCAUACGAUCUACGGAUGAAAGCGGGGGACCUUCAGGCCUCGCGCUAUAGGGUUGGCCGAUGGCUGAUUAGCUAGUUGGUGGGGUAAGGCCUACCAAGGCGACGAUCAGUAGCUGGUCUGAGAGGACGACCAGCCACACUGGGACUGAGACACGGCCCAGACUCCUACGGGAGGCAGCAGUGGGGAAUUUUGGACAAUGGGCGAAAGCCUGAUCCAGCAAUGCCGCGUGUGUGAAGAAGGCCUUCGGGUUGUAAAGCACUUUUGUCCGGAAAGAAAUCCUUGGCCCUAAUACGGUCGGGGGAUGACGGUACCGGAAGAAUAAGCACCGGCUAACUACGUG